AUGCUUCAUGUUGACCUUGGUUUUAUCAGUGACAAUAGCUCGGUUGUGGAGUGGGUGGAUGGUCCUUGGCCAGAGAUUCUACAAAGGUGCCUAACAAGGAUUUGGGACAUGUACCAUGAGCAGAACUUGGGGAGGGUGAAGGACAAACAAGCCCAUGAGAAAGAGGUGGCUAAGCUAUAGAAGGAAAUUGAUUUCCUGUCAAACAACUACAGCCAGUUGGUGGAAGAUGUAUCCAAGCUUUUUGACUAUCAAGAUGGCAAGAUGUCUCAUAACAUGUACUAUACCAGUCAGGCAAUCAAUGAUCUAAAUGCAAAGAAGAAACAACUUCAGGAUCAAGCAAAGAUUGAGAUAAGUAAGGAAAAGAUGAAGCCUGCCAAGGAGCAAAGGUGCAUUCUUCAAAGCCAAGCAGAUAUCAUUCAGAACAUGAGGAAGGCCGUGAAGGAAGUGGAGGGGGACAGGGACCUACUUAAGCAAGAGAAGAAGAAGCUGGAGUAUCUGAUUGCUGAUCUGGUCAAUGCUGGGCAUGCCAGCAAAGAUAAGCUGGAGAGGAUCAAGGCAAUUAUGAAUGAGUGA
rnacentral:rRNA from 1 species